rnacentral:rRNA from 1 species
GGUAGUCCACGCCGUAAACGAUGAGUGCUAAGUGUUAGGGGGUUUCCGCCCCUUAGUGCUGCAGCUAACGCAUUAAGCACUCCGCCUGGGGAGUACGGUCGCAAGACUGAAACUCAAAGGAAUUGACGGGGGCCCGCACAAGCGGUGGAGCAUGUGGCUUAAUUCGAAGCAACGCGAAGAACCUUACCAGGUCUUGACAUCCUCUGACAAUCCUAGAGAUAGGACGUCCCCUUCGGGGGCAGAGUGACAGGUGGUGCAUGGUUGUCGUCAGCUCGUGUCGUGAGAUGUUGGGUUAAGUCCCGCAACGAGCGCAACCCUUGAUCUUAGUUGCCAGCAUUCAGUUGGGCACUCUAAGGAGACUGCCGGUGACAAACCGGAGGAAGGUGGGGAUGACGUCAAGUCAUCAUGGCCCUUACGGCCUGGGCUACACACGUGCUACAAUGGUCGGUACAGAGGGUUGCCAAGCCGCGAGGUGGAGCUAAUCUCACAAAACCGAUCGUAGUCCGGAUCGCAGUCUGCAACUCGACUGCGUGAAGUCGGAAUCGCUAGUAAUCGCGAAUCAGAAUGUCGCGGUGAAUACGUUCCCGGGCCUUGUACACACCGCCCGUCACACCAUGGGAGUGGGUUGCACCAGAAGUAGCUAGUCUAACCUUCGGGAGGACGGUUACCACGGUGUGAUUCAUGACUGGGGUGAAGUCGUAACAAGGUAACC